rnacentral:misc_RNA from 1 species
UCUCUCUCCCCUCCGUGUUAUUUAUCCUGCUUUUUGGGAAAAAUAACAUAUAAGUCAAGUUAUAUUUUAAAAAGAACAGUGUUCAUCCAUGUUUCUUAUCAAAUAUGUGCAGUGUUUGUGUUGAUUUUAUGAAGUACAAAUAGGAAUGUGGUCAUUUUUUUUGUUGUUUUGAUAAAAUUCAGGGUGCCAUUGGCCAUCUCCUUGGAGCAGCUGGUUCUGUUGAAGCAAUUUUCUCAGUUUUGGCCAUACACCAUGUAAGCAAUUGCAUAUACUUGCUUCCUUCUUGAUUAAGAUAAAACAAAGCAAUGCCACAGUAUGAGCUAUUAAUUAAUUAAUUACCUGCUUGACUGUAAAUCCAAAGCCCAUUGUACAUGCAUGCAUGUGUAGUGUCUGUGCAUGUAUUAAAAGACGAGAUUUUCAAGUAUUAGGUCUAGUUAAGUAAUACCAUGUUCUUUUAUCAUACGUACUCCUGUAUCACAGUAUGGCUGAAAGGGGAAAAUUGUCUGGGCUUGCCUUUUGCUUCAAAAGUCCCACUCCAAACUUAUUGCUUC